rnacentral:rRNA from 1 species
GACGAACGCUGGCGGCGUGCUUAACACAUGCAAGUCGAACGGAAAGGCCCUGCUUUUGUGGGGUGCUCGAGUGGCGAACGGGUGAGUAACACGUGAGUAACCUUCCCUUGACUUUGGGAUAACUUCAGGAAACCGGGGCUAAUACCGGCUUGGAGCUCCUGCUGCAUGGUGGGGGUUGGAACGCUUCGGUGGUUGGGGAUGGACUCGCGGCUUAUCAGCUUGUUGGUGGGGUAGUGGCUUACCAAGGCUUUGACGGGUAGCCGGCCUGAGAGGGUGAACGGCCACCUGGGGACUGAGAGACGGCGCAGACUCCUACGGGAGGCAGCAGUGGGGAAUAUUGCACAGUGGGCGGGAGCCUGAUGCGGCAACGCCGCGUGCGGGAUGACGGCCUUCGGGUUGUAAACCGCUGUCGCCUGUGACGAAGCGUGAGUGACGGUAAUGGGUAAAGAAGCACCGGCUAACUACGUG